ACCGAUAAAGAGUUGAGUGGCGAACGGGUGAGUAACACGUGGGCAACCUGCCCAAAAGAGGGGGAUAACACUUGGAAACAGGUGCUAAUACCGCAUAACCAUAGUUACCGCAUGGUAACUAUGUAAAAGGUGGCUAUGCUACCGCUUUUGGAUGGGCCCGCGGCGCAUUAGCCAGUUGGUGGGGUAAAGGCUUACCAAGGCAAUGAUGCGUAGCCGAACUGAGAGGUUGAUCGGCCACAUUGGGACUGAGACACGGCCCAAACUCCUACGGGAGGCAGCAGUAGGGAAUCUUCCACAAUGGGCGAAAGCCUGAUGGAGCAACGCCGCGUGGGUGAAGAAGGUCUUCGGAUCGUAAAACCCUGUUGUUAGAGAAGAAAGUGCGUGAGAGUAACUGUUCACGUUUCGACGGUAUCUAACCAGAAAGCCACGGCUAACUACGUGCCAGCAGCCGCGGUAAUACGUAGGUGGCAAGCGUUAUCCGGAUUUAUUGGGCGUAAAGGGAACGCAGGCGGUCUUUUAAGUCUGAUGUGAAAGCCUUCGGCUUAACCGGAGUAGUGCAUUGGAAACUGGGAGACUUGAGUGCAGAAGAGGAGAGUGGAACUCCAUGUGUAGCGGUGAAAUGCGUAGAUAUAUGGAAGAACACCAGUGGCGAAAGCGGCUCUCUGGUCUGUA
rnacentral:rRNA from 1 species